UACGGAGGGUGCAAGCGUUGUUCGGAAUCACUGGGCGUAAAGGGCGUGUAGGCGGUCCGCUAAGUCCGCUGUGAAAUCUCGAGGCUCAACUUCGAGCUGUCGGUGGAAACUGUCUGGCUAGAGUCCGGAAGAGGAGAAUGGAAUUCCUGGUGUAGCGGUGAAAUGCGCAGAUAUCAGGAAGAACACCCGUGGCGAAGGCGGUUCUCUGGGACGGUACUGACGCUGAGACGCGAAAGCGUGGGGAGCGAACAGG
rnacentral:rRNA from 1 species